UGUGCAAUGCAUAAGUAGGGUCCAUAGUCCUACCUAUACUAAGUAACUCUUCAAGAAAUCAUGACUAGAGUUCAUAUUCUUAUCUUAGUUUAUUUCUUAACUUUCGGGAGACAUUGCCAUAACCAACAUAGACCAUGUGAGCUACAUGGAAUCCGGUGUUCUACUCUCACACCGAAAAGAGAGGGUACUACUUGCCAAAGUAGGACCUACAUACAUAAUAGCUAUCUAGUGGAUCCACUAAGCUAAUACCUACGGGGGCACGUAGUUAUGGAACAAAGAGAUUGCUACUAGAAAAC
rnacentral:lncRNA from 1 species